AUGCAGCUGCACAUUGCAAACGAGGUCAUCCGCCUGCUUGACGUGGCGCAAGAAAAUGGAGAACUCUCUCCUGCAGAACUGCAUCUGAGAAGGCAACUCAAGAUGAAAGUGCUCGGCUUAGCAGCUAUUGAGAGGGCUAGAAUAAAGCAAGCCUCUCGAAUCACCUGGCUUAAGGCAGGAGACACAAACACGAAGUUUUUUCAUGAAAGAGUGAGAGCCAGAAGGAGAAAAAACUUCAUUCACUCCCUCAGGGUGGGUGGCUCGGAGGUAUUUGAUCACGAUGGAAAGGAGAGGAUUAUCCAUGACCAUUUCACAAGUUUGCUGGGAAAGCACGAGGAUAGAAGAACCACCAUCAACUGGGAACGGCUGGCCAUUCCCACCAUUGAUCCGCAAGGGUUAGAAUCGCCUUUCUCCUUAGCGGAGGUGUGGGCAGCCAUCAUCUCCUCCCCGACGGAAAAGGCUCCUGGGCCUAACGGGUUCACAGGGCAAUUCUAUCGAUCCUGCUGGCACAUCAUUCAGGACGAUGUCAUGGCAGUGUUUAACAAGUUCCAUCAGGUGGCUGGGCAGAAUUUUAAAGAGAUCAACACGGCCCUGAUUGCACUGCUACCAAAGAAAAAUGGAGCUUCAGAGGUCAGCCAUUAUCGACCAAUCAGCUUGAUACAUUCGGUUGCCAAGCUAAUAUCCAAAGUGCUCGCUGCAAGGCUGGUGGGGACCCUGGAUAAAAUCAUCUAUCCGGCGUAG
rnacentral:rRNA from 1 species